GACGAACGCUGGCGGCGUGCCUAAUACAUGCAAGUUGAGCGAUGAGGAUUGGUGCUUGCACCUCUUUGAAGAGCAGCGAACGGGUGAGUAACGCGUGGGGAAUCUGCCUUUGAGCGGGGGACAACAUCUGGAAACGAAUGCUAAUACCGCAUAACAACUUUAAACAUAAGUUUUAAGUUUGAAAGAUGCAAUUGCUUCACUCAAAGAUGAUCCCGCGUUGUAUUAGCUAGUUGGUGAGGUAAAGGCUUACCAAGGCAACGAUACAUAGCCGACCUGAGAGGGUGUCGGCCCCAAUUGGAAUGGGAAACGGCCCAAGCCCCUUCGGGAAGGAAGAAGAGGGAAUUCUCCGGAAUGGGCGAAAGGCUGGCCGAGCAAAGCCGGGGGAGGGGAUGAGGGUUUCGGAUCGUAAAACUCGUUUUAUUGAGAAGAAAGAUAGGUAGAAUGGAAAGCACAUGAAGUGACGGUAACUACCCAGAAAGGCACGGCUAACUACGUG
rnacentral:rRNA from 1 species